CACGUAGGGGGCGAGCGUUGUCCGGAAUUAUUGGGCGUAAAGAGCUCGUAGGCGGCUCAGUAAGUCGGGUGUGAAACCCUCAGGCUCAACCUGGGGACGCCACCCGAUACUGCUGUGGCUAGAGUCCAGUAGGGGAGUGUGGAAUUCCCGGUGUAGCGGUGAAAUGCGCAGAUAUCGGGAGGAACACCAGCGGCGAAGGCGGCACUCUGGGCUGGUACUGACGCUGAGGAGCGAAAGCGUGGGUAGCAAACAGG
rnacentral:rRNA from 1 species